GGUUCAAUUUGAUAAAUAAAGUGUUUAUUAUAUCUGAUUCAAAUUUUUGUUUAUAUUUCGUUUUUUCACUUUUCUAUCCUUGAUUUAUCUGAAUGAUUUUGCUUAUGAGUGACAGAUUUGUAUGCUUGUAUGUGUGUUUUGUGUUAUUUUGGUGAACUUAGGUUUGGAAUUUGAAAAUUUGUGUUUCAAUUAGAUAAAUUGUUGUGAACUUAGGUUUGGAAUUUGAAAUUCUGUAUGUAUGUAUGUAUUAGGAUAGAAUUUCAAGUUUAGUUUGGUCAAAGUCCGUGCAAUUUGUUCGAUCGACUUUGUUUCACUCGAUUUCAUCCUCAUCUUUCUUUAAUUUCACUUCAAUUGAUUCAUCCUCAAAUUCAGGUUUGUUUUCUUUCAAUUAGUUUGUAAUUAAUUAAUUAUUCUUCUGAUUUACUUAAUCUUAAAAUUAUGUCAUUAAAUUUUUUUGUGGUUCACAAAUCACAAUUUUUCCUUUGUCUAGCCUCUCGAAUGUCCUCGUACCUGGAGAGUAUACAAGGAAAUGAAUAUACAAUUAACAUACAUAGGUUGAUAAUGCAAAGAAAAGUAUUAAAAUUCAAUAUGCCAUAAACCUGAAAUGUACAAGGAAUAUGAACAAGUUGAUGCAAAGCACUGAUGUAAGUGAACUAGGCAAAUCUGUCAUUGAAGACAGGAGAUCGGGAAGCUGAUGGUCUGAUGGCUAAUACUGAAGAUACACUCAGCUUGCGGGGCUAAAUCCAAAGCUAGGAUUAUAUACGAGUUUGCAUAAAGAUGGAUCACUGAAGGCUCACAUUUUUUGGCGACUUGUCAGCAUGGUGCUCUUGCUGUGAAGAAAUGUUAGUGGACUCUUCCUGACUAUCUCAGUCUCAGGUGCAGAAAAUGUGAUUCGUCUAGAAUUUUCUGGUUUUAUGUGGUAUCUGAUUUGUACAUUGAACAUUUUAGUUGAGAGUGUAAAGAUUUAGCCGCUGCAAAGCUUAGUUGGUGCAGAAAAUGUCAAAUAGUGAUCUGGUAGUGUAGAUACAUCAGACUGUGUUCUUAUUAUUGAGACAUGUGGUAUUUCAAAAAUUGCAAUGUGCAUUACGUGAUAUUUGGUGUUAA